UACGGAGGAUCCAAGCGUUAUCCGGAAUCAUUGGGUUUAAAGGGUCCGUAGGCGGUUUGGUAAGUCAGUGGUGAAAUCCCAUUCGCUCAACGGAGGAACGGCCUUGAUACUGCCAGACUUGAAUUACCUGGGAAGUAACUAGAAUAUGGUAGUGUAUGCGGUGAAAUGCUUAGAUAUUACAUGGAAUACCAAUUGCGAAGGCAGGU
rnacentral:rRNA from 1 species